GUGGGGAAUAUUGCACAAUGGGGGAAACCCUGAUGCAGCGACGCCGCGUGAGUGAAGAAGUAUUUCGGUACGUAAAGCUCUAUCAGCAAGGAAGAAAAUGACGGUACUUGACUAAGAAGCCCCGGCUAACUACGUGCCAGCAGCCGCGGUAAUACGUAGGGGGCAAGCGUUAUCCGGAUUUACUGGGUGUAAAGGGAGCGUAGACGGUAUGGUAAGUCAGAUGUGAAAGCCCGGGGCUCAACCCCGGGAAUGCAUUUGAAACUAUCAGACUAGAGUGCAGGAGAGGUAAGUGGAAUUCCUAGUGUAGCGGUGAAAUGCGUAGAUAUUAGGAGGAACACCAGUGGCGAAGGCGGCUUACUGGACUGUAACUGACGUUGAGGCUCGAAAGCGUGGGGAGCAAACAGGAUUAGAAACCCGAGUAGUCC
rnacentral:rRNA from 1 species